AACAAAGAAGUAAAAAAUUACAAUUAGUUUCGACCUAAUUUUUGGAUUUUAUCCCUUGUUU
rnacentral:tRNA from 1 species